rnacentral:rRNA from 1 species
UACGUAGGUGGCAAGCGUUGUUCGGAAUUAUUGGGCGUAAAGGGCGCGUAGGCGGUUUGUUAAGUCGGCUGUGAAAGCCCGGGGCUCAACCCCGGAGGGUCAGCCGAUACUGGCAGACUAGAGUACGGAAGAGGUAGCUGGAAUUCCCGGUGUAGCGGUGAAAUGCGUAGAUAUCUGGAGGAAUACCGGUGGCGAAGGCGGCAUCCUGGACCGACAUUGACGCUGAGGAGCGAAAGCCAGGGGAGCAAACGGG